CCUACGGGUGGCUGCAGUCGAGAAUCAUUCGCAAUGGGGGAAACCCUGAUGGUGCGACGCCGCGUGGGGGAAUGAAGCUCUUCGGAGUGUAGACCCCUGUCAUGUGGGGGCAUAUUAAAAAGAUAGUACCACAAGAGGCAGAGACGUCUAACUCUGUGCCAGCAGCCGCGGUAAUACGGAGGUCUCAAGCGUUGUUCGGAAGCACUGGGCGUAACGCGUGCGUAGGCGGUUAGGUAAGUCGUAUGUGAAAGGCACGGGCUCAACACGGGGUCGGAAUAUGAUACUAUGUAGCUAGAGUAAGGUAGGGGGAAAGGGAAUUCCGGGGGUAGCAGUGAAAUGCGUAGAUAGCGAGAGGAACAUCGGUGGCGAAGGCGCGUUACUGGACCAUUAUUGACGCUGAGGCACGAAGGCCAGGGGAGCGAAAGGGAUUAGAUACCCCGGUAGUC
rnacentral:rRNA from 1 species